UACGUAGGGUGCGAGCGUUGUCCGGAAUUACUGGGCGUAAAGAGCUCGUAGGUGGUUUGUCGCGUUGUCCGUGAAAACUCACAGCUUAACUGUGGGCGUGCGGGCGAUACGGGCAGACUGGAGUACUGCAGGGGAGACUGGAAUUCCUGGUGCAGCGGUGGAAUGCGCAGAUAUCAGGAGGAACACCCAUGGCGAAGGCAGCAAACUGGGCAUCAUCUGACGCUGAGGCGCGAAAGCGUGGGUAGCAAACAGG
rnacentral:rRNA from 1 species